UACGUAGGUGGCAAGCGUUGUCCGGAUUUAUUGGGUUUAAAGGGUGCGUAGGUGGUCUAUUAAGUCAGUGCUGAAAUAUCCCGGCUUAACCGGGAGGGUGGCAUUGAUACUGAUGGACUUGAGUAAAGUUGAGGUUGGCGGAAUUGACGGUGUAGCGGUGAAAUGCUUAGAUAUCGUCAAGAACACCUAUUGCGAAGGCAGCUAACUAAGCUUUAACUGACACUGAGGCACGAAAGCGUGGGGAGCAAACAGG
rnacentral:rRNA from 1 species